AUGCACGCUGGCGGCGUGCCUAAUACAUGCCAGUCGAGCGAACAGAUGAGGAGCUUGCUCCUCUGACGUUAGCGGCGGACGGGUGAGUAACACGUGGAUAACCUACCUAUAAGACUGGGAUAACUUCGGGAAACCGGAGCUAAUACCGGAUAAUAUAUUGAACCGCAUGGUUCAAUAGUGAAAGACGGUUUUGCUGUCACUUAUAGAUGGGUCCGCGCCGCAUUAGCUAGUUGGUAAGGUAACGGCUUACCAAGGCAACGAUGCGUAGCCGACCUGAGAGGGUGAUCGGCCACACUGGAACUGAGACACGGUCCAGACUCCUACGGGAGGCAGCAGUAGGGAAUCUUCCGCAAUGGGCGAAAGCCUGACGGAGCAACGCCGCGUGAGUGAUGAAGGUCUUCGGAUCGUAAAACUCUGUUAUUAGGGAAGAACAAAUGUGUAAGUAACUAUGCACGUCUUGACGGUACCUAAUCAGAAAGCCACGGCUAACUACGUG
rnacentral:rRNA from 1 species